UAUUCUUAAUUAAUCAAACCACAUAAUUAAGCAAUUAAGCACAAAACACAUAAUACUCAAAUAAUACACUCUUAUUAUUUCAAAACGGGUUACAAAGGUUAACCCAGACUAUUACAUUGCUAAAAAUGGCAAGCCCGGAAACACAGGCGUUACAAUUCUCUCCACCUUAGAAUGAUUCCGUCCCCGGAAUCACACAUCAACAAACAAAUGCGGAUAGCGACUCAACAUGUCACUCUCCGUCUCCCAGGUGAGAUUCGGCCCAUUUGUGUGUUUCCAUCGGACAANAGAGUAUGAUACCGGGACUUCGGGGUAGCUUCGGGGGUUUUUGCACAGAGCUUCGACACGAAAACGAGAGGGAAUUGGCAAAAAUACCCGGAACCCUCGCAUCCUAUUUAUAGGAGGCUGGAGCCUCGGAGUACGCGGGGCGUACUGCUCCGAAACGUCAUCGCUUACGUAUCCGAAGAACUCGAGUGCGAGUGUCGACAUCCCUCGGUGUACGCGGGGCGUACUUCGGAUCAGAUCGGUGACUCCUUCGGAUAAUCAUCUGAAUUAAAGAUUAAAUUUAAAUACAAAUUAUUUAAUAAACUUCGGAAAUUCAUAUUUUCUUCAUACGAACUCCGCUUUCGACGUUCUUUAUAUCCACGUGAAGGUGAGACUACGCUCUACAACUUUCGUUUAGACUCCGUCGGCUAAUUUUAAAUUUAAUUUUAUUAUUUAUUUUUAAUAGGUCGGGAAAGAAAACUUCGUUAUAAAUUCAUAACUUCUUCGUUUGACGUCCGUUCUCGCCUAACUUUUUAUCGCUUCGAUACCAACAACGAGACCUUCGAUCCUCGUUUAGAUUGCUUUGGCUAAAAACCGCUCGAUCUCAAAUCGAGUAUUUCACGCUGCAUACCGCUAAGCCGAAACUUCGAUAAAUCAUAACUUCCUCAUACAAAGUCAGAUUUGGGCGUUCUAUAUAUAUUCAGAAACCUCGUUUCAACUACUACAACAUUAACCAAAGAUAUUAAGUUUAUUUUACACUUAAAUUUUGACGCUUAUUUUUAUUCUUAAUUAAUCAAACCACAUAAUUAAGCAAUUAAGCACAAAACACAUAAUACUCAAAUAAUACAUUUUUAUUAUUUCAAAACGGGUUACAAAGGUUAACCUAGACUAUUACAAUGCUAAAAAUGGCAAGCUCGAAAACACAGGCGUCACAAUUCUCUCCACCUUAGAAAGAUUCCGUCCCUGGAAUCACACAUCAACAAACAAAUGCGGAUACUGACUCAACAUGUCACUCUCCGUCUCCCAGGUGAGAUUCGGCCCAUUUGUAUGUUUCCAUCGGACAAGCACUAACCCAACCAUUUUGCAUCGCAACUUCUUAGUCUUUCGGUCAACAAUUGCCUCUGGUUCUUCAAUCAACCUUUUGUUCUCAUCAAUUCUCAAUUCAGAAAUUGGAAUUAUAUCGGGAACUUCUCCCGUGAACUUCCUCAAAUAACACACAUGAAAAGUGUUGUGAAUUCCAUUCAGUUCUUCGGGUAAUUCGAGCUUGUAAGCUUGGUUCCCAACCCUCUGAAGAACUUUAAAUGGUCCAAUAAACCUUGGACUCAACUUUCCCCUUUUCACAAAUCUUAUAAGUCCCUUCCACGGCGAGACUUUAAGCAAAACCGAAUCUCCAACCUCAAAAGUCAUCGGUCUUCGCUUCUUGUCAGCAUAGCUCUUUUGACGAUCUUGAGCUGCUAACAUUCUUUCCCUAAUUAUUUUCAACUUUUCAGCAGUUUGAUGAACCAUCUCCGGUACCAUAAAUUGCUUUUCCCCAGCCUCAAGCCAACAAGUCGGCGUACGAUACUUUUGUCCAUACAAAGCUUGAUAAGGUGCCAUCUUAAUGCUCGAGUGAAAACUAUUAUUAUAGGAAAAUUCUACCAACGGUAAAUGUUCAUCCCAAUUACCUAGGAAUUCCAAGGUACAUGCUCUCAGCAUAUCUUCAAGUGUUUGUAUCGUUCGUUCGCUCUGACCAUCAGUCUGCGGAUGGUAAGCUGUGCUUAAACAUAACUUGGUACCCAUUUCCUCUUGUAGACUUUUCCAAAACCUUGAGGUGAAACGGCUAUCACGAUCCGAUACAAUCGUUAACGGAACACCGUGAAGCCUCACAAUUUCCUUCACGUAAGAAUUCGCAAGCUUUUCCAUAGACCAUUUCUCCCUGGCCGCUAUGAAAUGCGCACUCUUAGUGAAUCGAUCAACGACCACCCAAAUCAUGUCGUGACCAUUCUUUGUUCUGGGCAGUUUAGUG
rnacentral:lncRNA from 1 species